AUGCCAGGCAUCCAAACCUGGCCACCAGCAGCCCAGCUCUCUGAGAUGGAACUCUCCAGCAGCCACUCACAGAUGUGCCCUGACCCUCCCCAAAGCCCAUGGGCCAGCAGGACCAAGGGACAGGCAGGACAGGGCAGGACAGGGCAGGACAGGGCAGGACAGGACAGGACAGGGCAGGACAGACCAGGACAGGACAGGAUAGGGGACAGGGCAGGACAGGGCAGGACAGGGCAGGGCAGGACAGGACAGGAGAGGACAGGAGAGGGCAGGACAGGGCAGGACAGGGCAGGACAGGGCAGGGCAGGACAGGACAGGAGAGGACAGGAGAGGGCAGGACAGGGCAGGACAGGGCAGGACAGGGCAGGGCAGGACAGGACAGGAGAGGACAGGAGAGGGCAGGACAGGGCAGGACAGGGCAGGACAGGGCAGGGCAGGACAGGACAGGAGAGGACAGGAGAGGGCAGGACAGGGCAGGACAGGGCAGGACACGGCAGGACAGGGCAGGACAGGGCAGGACAGGAGAGGACAGGACAGGGCAGGACAGGGCAGGGCAGGGAGGACAGGAGAGGGCAGGACAGGACAGGACAGGGCAGGACAGGGCAGGACAGGGCAGGACACAGCCAGCAGGGUGAGGGUGAGGGUGGGGUGGCCUUGCUGGAGCCAUUGCCCUGUGGUUGUUCUCAGCUCCUUUGGCCUGUGGCUCCCAUGCACAUCUCUGCUUUCCAAGAAGCAAUUAGGAGCAGGCUAAAUUAUUUCUGGAAGCUGGGGAAUGUGGCAGGGAGUCAGCAGGAGGGGAGUGUGCUGCACGGGCUCCCCCCAGUAGGGACAGCAGUCACAGCCACGCUGUCACACAGGUCCCCUCCCAAGGGCAGCUGGCACUCACAGGACCCAACCAGCAACAGCAGGAACCAGGAGCUGAGGGGGCAGGGGAGAUGCACACACGAGGAAAGCAGCUUUUGGAUACAGAGACCCCAGGAGCAAAGGUUUCCUGGGUCUGGCAUUUUUAAUGCCUACAGGGUUUUCAAGGACAAUUUUCCUGCUGUUGUUGCACGAGGAGCUGGGACUACACACCAGAUUCUGGGAUGA
rnacentral:lncRNA from 1 species